GAUCAUGGCUCAGGAUGAACGCUGGCGGCGUGCUUAACACAUGCAAGUCGAACGAAACACCUUAUUUGAUUUUCUUCGGAACUGAAGAUUUGGUGAUUGAGUGGCGGACGGGUGAGUAACGCGUGGGUAACCUGCCCUGUACAGGGGGAUAACAGUCAGAAAUGAUUGCUAAUACCGCAUAAGACCACAGCACCGUAUGGUGCAGGGGUAAAACUCCGGUGGUACAGGAUGGACCCGCGU
rnacentral:rRNA from 1 species